GUGCUCACUUCGGCAGCACAUAUACUAAAAUUGGAAUGAUACAGAGAAGAUUAGCAUGGCCCCUGUGCAAGGAUGACAUGCAAAUUCGUGAAGCCUUCCAUAUUUUU
ensembl:snRNA U6 U6 spliceosomal RNA